rnacentral:rRNA from 1 species
GUCAGAGAGGUAACGGCUCACCAAGGCGAUGAUGGGAAGCCGGCCUAAGAAGGUGAUCGGCCACAAGGGGACUGAGACACGGCCCUUACUCCUACGGGAGGCAGCAGUGGGGAAUAUUGGACAAUGGACCAAGAGUCUGAUCCAGCAAUUCUGUGUGCACGAUGAAGUUUUUCGGAAUGUAAAGUGCUUUCAGUUGGGAAGAAAAAAAUGACGGUACCAACAGAAGAAGUGACGGCUAAAUACGUGCCAGCAGCCGCGGUAAUACGUAUGUCACAAGCGUUAUCCGGAUUUAUUGGGCGUAAAGCGCGUCUAGGUGGUUAUGUAAGUCUGGUGUGAAAAUGCAGGGCUCAACUCUGUAUUGCGUUGGAAACUGUGUAACUAGAGUACUGGAGAGGUAAGCGGAACUACAAGUGUAGAGGUGAAAUUCGUAGAUAUUUGUAGGAAUGCCGAUGGGGAAGCCAGCUUACUGGACAGAUACUGACGCUGAAGCGCGAAAGCGUGGGUAGCAAACAGG